UACAGAGGCCUCGAGCGUUAGGCGGAAUCACUGGGCUUAAAGCGUGUGUAGGUGGAUGCCUAAGUGUUUUGUGAAAUCCCACGGCUUAACCGUGGAAUUGCUUGACAUACUGGGUGUCUUGAGCCACUCAGGGGCUACCGGAACUAACGGUGGAGCGGUGAAAUGCGUAGAUAUCGUUAGGAACGCCAAUGGUGAAAACAGGUAGCUGGGGGUGUGCUGACACUGAGACACGAAAGCCAGGGGAGCAAACGGG
rnacentral:rRNA from 1 species